UACGGAGGGUGCAAGCGUUGCUCGGAAUUAUUGGGCGUAAAGGGCAAGUAGGUGGUCUCAUUUGUCUAGGGUGAAAGCCUUGAGCUUAACUCAAGAAGUGCCCCGGAAACGGUGAGACUCGAGUCCUAGAGAGGGUCGUGGAAUUCCCGGUGUAGCGGUGAAAUGCGUAGAGAUCGGGAGGAACACCAGAGGCGAAGGCGGCGACCUGGAUAGAUACUGACGCUGAGGUGCGAAAGCGUGGGGAGCAAACAGG
rnacentral:rRNA from 1 species